CUAGGCUCUAGUCGGGAGAGCCCAAAGCGCAGAAGUCGGAGGUCGCUGUGGCUGUAGCGGGGGGGGGGGUCACCCCUCCACCUGACCACAAGAGGCCCAUAGGCAACAGCCAUGGUACCCAUCUAGAAUAGCCUGAUCCUGAGCCCCACUUCCACAAGCUUGGCAGCAGCUAUGUGGCUCAACCAGAUAGCACAGAAGAUCUGAAGACCCAAGGCCCAGCAAGCCAAGAAAUUAAUAGAAUCUUUGAAUAUCUGGUACCGGAAGAUAAUGAAACUAGUGAUUUGGAGCAGUAGAAGAACUCACGGGAUGAAGUUUCACAUUUGGCUGCUCCAGGCGGUUCAAGUCUGCUUUGCUUCAAAAUACAGACUCACUCUCACCUUCAUGACAAUGCUGUGG